rnacentral:rRNA from 1 species
GACGAACCGUGCGAACGUUAUUCGGAAUCACUGGGCUUAAAGGGCGCGUAGGCGGAUUUGCAAGUCUGUGGUGAAAUCCUCCAGCUUAACUGGAGAAGUGCCAUGGAUACUGCGAGUCUCGAGGAAGGUAGGGGCAUCUGGAACUGCCGGUGGAGCGGUGAAAUGCGUUGAUAUCGGCAGGAACUCCGGUGGCGAAGGCGAGAUGCUGGAUCUUUUCUGACGCUGAGGCGCGAAAGCUAGGGGAGCAAACGGG